rnacentral:rRNA from 22 species
AAAACGACUCUCGGCAACGGAUAUCUCGGCUCUCGCAUCGAUGAAGAACGUAGCAAACUGCGAUACAUGGUGUGAAUUGCAGAAUCCCGUGAACCAUCGAGUCUUUGAACGCAAGUUGCGCCCGAAGCCAUCAGGCCGAGGGCACGUCUGCCUGGGCGUCACG